CUCUGAGCCUCAACUGGCUCAAUGAAGGAGGAAACUGAGGCAAGAAAGGUUAAGUAACUUGCCGAGAACUUACUCCAAAUAGCUAGGUCCAACCUGCUCCAUAUCCAGAAGUUACAUAAUAGAGGUGAAGCCUCCUAGAUGAGCAUCACAUUCAGUUCUGUACCAAUGACCAGCGCCUGGUGAUUUUCUCCCAAUAUAGAGCUGGGGAGGCUUCAAAUUACCCUGACUCGAAUUGCUAUGUACUUCAUAUGCAUGUGGCUUCUUUCACUACAAUACCGUUUGCAUGGAGAGGAUGUUCAUUACCAGGUGAAUGAGAGAGUGGGAAGGUAGGAAUAACUCAAACUUACUAAAACCCUCUGCUCCUUUUGAUCAAAUUUCAAAGUGUAUUUGUGGCUUGUUCACGUUUGUGUUCACAAUGGGAAUACUAUGCAAUUUUAAACUCUUCCUGUUGUUUUUGUCACCACAUGGUCUUGGUGAUCUCUGCAAGUGUCCUGAAUUUUGGGACGUUCCAUAUUCUAUACCUACUAAUCUACUUGGAUGACUUUCCCAUCUGCUCAUUUCUGCCC